rnacentral:tRNA from 1 species
GGUCGAGUGCUGGAAUGGUAGACAGGCCAGUCUCAAAAACUGGUGGCGUUAACACACCGUGAGGGUUCGACUCCCUCCUCGACCA